UACGUAGGUGGCGAGCGUUAUCCGGAAUUAUUGGGCGUAAAGAGCGCGCAGGUGGUUGAUUAAGUCUGAUGUGAAAGCCCACGGCUUAACCGUGGAGGGUCAUUGGAAACUGGUCGACUUGAGUGCAGAAGAGGGAAGUGGAAUUCCAUGUGUAGCGGUGAAAUGCGUAGAGAUAUGGAGGAACACCAGUGGCGAAGGCGAUUCUCUGGACUGUAACUGACGCUGAGGCUCGAAAGCGUGGGGAGCAAACAGGAUUAGA
rnacentral:rRNA from 1 species